GCAAGCAGACCCAGUAAUCAAUCUUAUGUGUCUGUCUCAUAAGUUUAGUAACUUCUUAUACAUGCGCAUACCAGUUUCUGAUCAAAACCAGAUACAG